UCCUAUGAUGGCAUGAAAUCUUUGAGACCUGAUCAUUACUUGAUGAAAAAUACAAGCAAUUUUGUCUGAGGAC